UACGUAGGGGGCGAGCGUUGUCCGGAAUCAUUGGGCGUAAAGCGCACGUAGGCGGUCUGUUAUGUCGGAUGUGAAAGCCCUUGGCUCAACUAAGGAAGUGCAUCCGAAACUGGCAGGCUGGAGUACUAAAGAGGGUCGCGGAAUUCCCGGUGUAGAGGUGAAAUUCGUAGAUAUCGGGAGGAACACCGGUGGCGAAGGCGGCGACCUGGGUAGAUACUGACGCUGAGGUGCGAAAGCGUGGGGAGCAAACAGG
rnacentral:rRNA from 1 species